rnacentral:lncRNA from 1 species
GGAGGCGCGGUCCUUCCAGCCUCUUGCUCCUGUGAAUCACAGGUCGGCGGGAGCCUUUUUUCCUUUUUUUUUUUUUCCCGGGGAGUCGGCCUCGGGGCUCUGCUCUCCUACCUCAGUCUGCCCUACCCUGGAAUGGGGAAAAUGCGGACAUGCCACUCAGUCCGGCCGCGAACAGUGCUCCAGAACUCAGAGAGUUUUCCAGACGGGUGGAGAUCGCGUUCCCUGCCCGCCGAGGUCCCAUCGCUUCCCUGCUGGGAAGACAAAUGAGGCGCUUUAGCCGUCUCCACGGCCAGCCCCUCCCUCAUAACCCGAGAUUCUUUGUGGGCUCUUAGUCCAUAGCUGCCUUUGAGGUGGUGUAGACCUUGCUAACCAGGACGGCCCAGUAGGCAGAGCUCAUUUUUAUUCCUGUCUGCAAUCGUGCAAAAACGCCUCUUAUGGAAAAGCCAGAGCGCCAGGAGUCAGCAAAACACACUAAAGAUUGGGCAGUCACUGGGGAGAACAUGGCCUGAAGCAACUGAAGAUCCACAAAAGAAGUGAAAAUAGCCUUAACUGAUGACAUUCCACCAUUGAGAUUUGUUCCUGCCCCACCCUAACUGAUACGAUAUAUUCUCCCCCGCCCUUAAGAAGACUCAGCCCGCCUGCACCCAGGUGAAAUAUACAGCCUUGUUGCUCACACAAAGCCUGUUUGGUGGUUUCUUCACACGGAUGCAUGUGACAUUUGGUGCUGAAGACCCAGGACAGGAGGACUCCUUUGGGAGACCAGUGCCCUGUUGUCGCCCUCACUCCGUGAGGAGAUCCACCUAUGAUCUCAGGUCCUCAGACCAACCAGCCCAAGGAACAUCUUGCCAAUUUCAAAUCGGAAGAUAGGAGUGUCAGGCCUCUGAGUCCAAGCUAAGCCAUCAAAUCCCCUGUGACCUGCACGUGUACAUCCAGAUGACCUGAAGCAACUGAAGAUCCACAAAAGAAGUGAAAGUAGCCUUAACUGAUGACAUUCCACCAUUGUGAUUUGUUCCUGCCCCACGCUAACUGAUACCAUAUAUUCUUCCCCCGCCCUUGAGAAUGUACUUUGUACACCUAUCCCAAACCUAUAAGAACUAAUGAUAAUCCUACCACCCUUUGCUGACUCUCUUUUUGGACUCAGCCCGCCUGCACCCAGGUGAAAUAAACAGCCCUGUUGCUCACACAAA